rnacentral:rRNA from 1 species
GACGAACGCUGGCGGCGUACCUAAUACAUGCCAGUCGAGCGAAGUUUUUCUGGUGCUUGCCCUAGAAAAACUUAGCGGCGAACGGGUGAGUAACACGUAAAGAACCUGCCUCAUAGGCUGGGACAACUAUUGGAAACGAUAGCUAAUACCGGAUAACAGUAUUUCUCGCAUGAGAGAUAUUUAAAAGUUGGUUAUGCUAACACUAUGAGAUGGCUUUGCGGUGCAUUAGCUAGUUGGUGGGGUAAAGGCCCACCAAGGCGACGAUGCAUAGCCGACCUGAGAGGGUGAUCGGCCACACUGGGACUGAGACACGGCCCAGACUCCUACGGGAGGCAGCAGUAGGGAAUCUUCCGCAAUGGGCGAAAGCCUGACGGAGCAACGCCGCGUGAGUGAAGAAGGAUUUCGGUUCGUAAAGCUCUGUUGUUAGGGAAGAAUGGAUAUGUAGUAACUAUACAUGUAAGAGACGGUACCUAACCAGAAAGCCACGGCUAACUACGUG